rnacentral:tRNA from 1 species
GUAUCUGUAGCUCAGAUGGCAGAGCAUUUGACUUUUAAUCAAAGGGUCAUGGGUUUGAUUCCCGUCAGGUACA